rnacentral:lncRNA from 1 species
GAGUUGUUUGAGCAAGUUCAUAUUAAUCUACCCCUCUUCGAUGUAAUUCAACAUGUUCUGGCUUACGCUAAAUUUUUUAAAGAACUUUGCACCCAAAAGCAUGAGCCAAGAAUAUAGAAAGAAUUAUGUUGUCUGAGGAUAUCAGUGCAGUCCUGUUGAAUCCAUUACCUCAAAAAAUGAAAGAUCCUGAUGCUCCUUUGAUUUCACGUG